GAGAGGUUGGACGCUGCUAUUCCGCAGGCUUUGCAGGUGGAGGAGGGGCCACAAGCCAAGGGACGCAGGCGCCUCCAGGAGCUGGAAAAGGCAGGAGACCUUGUGCCCUGGAGCCUCCAGGAGGGACCAGCCCUGCUGACGCCUUGAUUCUAGGACUUCUGACUUAAGAAGUGUGAGCGGUCGUGGGAAUGUGUUGCAGCGGCGGCAGUAGGAAGUCAAUCCACGUAACCAUGGAAGAAUGAAAAUAAACAUCUGCGCGUAGGGACUGAGCCCCUAGAGAAGGAUGGAAAGCAAACACAGCAUCCGCCCCCGACGCUGAGGCGGCGGGCGGGGCUGCGUGACCUCCGCGAACGCACCUGUGCAACCCGCUCUUGCACGGCACUCCGUUAAGAUCUCUGUGUGUGCGGGGCGCAGCUCUGGCCGGGAGCCGAGGCCUGAGCACUUUGAGGGGCUCCGCACCCCCCAAGACGUGGCUUCUCCGCUGUGUCCCUGCUCCUGGAGCCUCAGCUGCCUCAUCGGGUCCAUGGGGGUUGACAAGGACCCUUGCCAAUGCAAGCUUCAGGUUUCAGGGCUCCCGUGGAGAUCACUCCUCUUGGACCUGCCCCCAAUGGGUAUUGAGGGGCUCGGCUCCCCUGGGUCCAGUGUUGGGAGUGCUCUGAAGGCAGGGGGAGGUGAGGACCACAGACUGAGGCCUUGCCACCAGCUCCCGCCCUUUCUGGCUGUCACCUGGGGGGAUAAGUCCCUCCCUGGGUCCCAGUCUGCUCACCUGCCCAGCAGGUAUACUGGCUGCUGGGCCUUCCUGCCUUCCUAUGGGGCUGAGGGUCAAAUGAAGGAACUGCAAUCCUGACAUCCCAGCGGGGUCUGCGGCGGACUGAGGAACUGAGGGCUGAAUGUGUGCUAGCAUCUCUCCGUCCCGUACACACACUGGGCCGCUUAAACCACAGAAGGAAUCUGUCUUCAGCCACCCUAACUGGAGACAUUCUCAGAAGGGAAUCCUACAGAGUGCUGUUUAGGGCAGCCAAGUCGACAAAGCCUGUCUCAGGAAUCCAAGUUCAUUUAACAUUUGAAAAAAUCAGUCACCAUAUUAAUAGAUUAAGUAAGGAAAACCACAUGACCAUCGCAGUAGAAACAGAAAAACUGUUUGAAAAAAUCAAUAUCCAAUCAGAUUUUUAAAAAAAUCUUAGAAAACUAGGAAAAAAGGGAACUUCCUCUGUCUGAUAAAGGCCACCGCUAACGCUGUAUUUAAUGGUGGAAGACCAUUAAAUUCCUCAGACCAGAAAGAGACAGCAGGUCCACUUCCACCACUUUAGCCCACUUUGUGAGGGAGGUUCUAUCCAGUGCAGUAAAGCAAGAAUAAGAAACAAGAUGCGUUGAGGUUGGAAAAGAAGAAGUAAAACCAUCUUUAUCUGCAGACGACAUGAUUGCCUAUGUGGAAAACCCAAUGGAAUAUACAGAAUAGCUACUAGAACUAUUAAGUGAGUUUAGCAAGGUUGCAGGAUACAAAUCAAUAAACAAAAGUCAAUUUCUCUAUACUAGCAACAACCAGAAAUUGAAAUAAAAAAUCAACACCAUUUAUAGUAGAACAAAAAAUAUUAAACUUAGGGAUAAAUCUAAGAGGCUAAAAACUGCAAAACAUUUUUAAAGAAAUCAAAGGAGACCUAAAUAAACAGAGAGUCUCUGUUCCUUGCUUGGAAGGCAUCAUUGUUAUGAUGUCAGUUGUCCCCAGAUUGAUCCAUAGAUUCAAGGCAAUCUCAUUCAAAUUCCCAGCAACCUUUUUCAUAGACAUUGGCUGGUUCUAACGCUCAUAUGGAAAUGCAACAGGACUGGAACAGUCGAAACAGCUCUGAAGAAUGAAAUCGCGGGCCUAAAGCUGCCUGGUUCUAAGCAUUCUUUCAUGCACUCAUUUGCCAUCCUUAUAUCUUCCUUGAUGCAAUAUCUGUUCAACUCUUUGUCCUUCUUUUAAACAUUGAGAUGUUCGUUUUCUUUA